CCUGAUGCAGCGACGCCGCGUGAGAGAUGACGGCCUUCGGGUUGUAAACCUCUUUCAGCAGGGAAGAAGCGCAAGUGACGGUACCUGUAGAAGAAGCACCGGCCAACUACGUGCCAGCAGCCGCGGUAAUACGUAGGGUGCGAGCGUUGUCCGGAAUUAUUGGGCGUAAAGAGCUCGUAGGCGGUCUGUCGCGUCGAAUGUGAAAACCCGGGGCUCAACUCCGGGCUUGCAUUCAAUACGGGCAGGCUAGAGUUCGGUAGGGGAGUCUGGAAUUCCUGGUGUAGCGGUGAAAUGCGCAGAUAUCAGGAGGAACACCGGUGGCGAAGGCGGGACUCUGGACCGAUACUGACGCUGAGGAGCGAAAGCGUGGGGAGCGAACAGGAUUAGAUACCCUGGUAGUCCACGCCGUAAACGUUGGGCGCUAGGUGUGGGGGUCCUUCCACGAUCUCCGUGCCGCAGCUAACGCAUUAAGCGCCCCGCCUGGGGAGUACGGCCGCAAG
rnacentral:rRNA from 1 species